rnacentral:rRNA from 1 species
UACAGAGGUCUCAAGCGUUGUUCGGAUUUACUGGGCGUAAAGGGCGCGUAGGCGGCCACCGCAAGUCGACUGUGAAAUCUCCGGGCUUAACCCGGAAAGGUCAGCCGAUACUGCGGGGCUAGAGUGCAGAAGGGGCAACUGGAAUUCUCGGUGUAGCGGUGAAAUGCGUAGAUAUCGAGAGGAACACCUGCGGCGAAGGCGGGUUGCUGGGCUGACACUGACGCUGAUGCGCGAAAGCUAGGGGAGCGAACGGG